CAGGCCUAACACAUGCAAGUCGAGCGCCCCGCAAGGGGAGCGGCAGACGGGUGAGUAACGCGUGGGAAUCUACCUAGCUCUACGGAAUAACCCAGGGAAACUUGGACUAAUACCGUAUACGCCCUUCGGGGGAAAGAUUUAUCGGAGUUGGAUGAGCCCGCGUUGGAUUAGCUAGUUGGUGGGGUAAUGGCCUACCAAGGCGACGAUCCAUAGCUGGGCUGAGAGGAUGAUCAGCCACACUGGGACUGAGACACGGCCCAGACGCCUACGGGAGGCAGCAGUGGGGAAUAUUGGACAAUGGGCGAAAGCCUGAUCCAGCCAUGCCGCGUGAGUGAUGAAGGCCCUAGGGUUGUAAAGCGCUUGACACCGGUGAAGAUAAUGACGUGAACCGGAGAAGAAGCCCCGGCUAACUGCGUGCCAGCAGCCGCG
rnacentral:rRNA from 1 species